rnacentral:rRNA from 1 species
CCAGACUCCUACGGGAGGCAGCAGUGGGGAAUAUUGGGCAAUGGGCGCAAGCCUGACCCAGCAACGCCGCGUGAAGGAAGAAGGCUUUCGGGUUGUAAACUUCUUUUAAGAGGGAAGAGAAGAAGACGGUACCUCUUGAAUAAGCCACGGCUAACUACGUGCCAGCAGCCGCGGUAAUACGUAGGUGGCAAGCGUUGUCCGGAUUUACUGGGUGUAAAGGGCGUGCAGCCGGGCUGACAAGUCAGAUGUGAAAUCCCGCGGCUCAACCUUGGAACUGCAUUUGAAACUGUUGGUCUUGAGUAUCGGAGAGGCAGGCGGAAUUCCUAGUGUAGCGGUGAAAUGCGUAGAUAUUAGGAGGAACACCAGUGGCGAAGGCGGCUUACUGGACUGUAACUGACGUUGAGGCUCGAAAGCGUGGGGAGCAAACAGGAUUAGAUACCCGUGUA